UAGGGAAUCUUCCGCAAUGGACGCAAGUCUGACGGAGCAACGCCGCGUGAGUGAAGAAGGAUUUCGGUUCGUAAAACUCUGUUGUUAGAGAAGAACAGCGCAUAGAGUAACUGUUAUGCGUGUGACGGUAUCUAACCAGAAAGCCACGGCUAACUACGUGCCAGCAGCCGCGGUAAUACGUAGGUGGCAAGCGUUGUCCGGAUUUAUUGGGCGUAAAGCGAGCGCAGGCGGUCAAUUAAGUCUGAUGUGAAAGCCCCCGGCUCAACCGGGGAGGGUCAUUGGAAACUGGUUGACUUGAGUGCAGAAGAGGAGAGUGGAAUUCCAUGUGUAGCGGUGAAAUGCGUAGAUAUAUGGAGGACCACCAGUGGCGAAGGCGACUCUCUGGUCUGUAACUGACGCUGAGGCUCGAAAGCGUGGGUAGCAAACAGG
rnacentral:rRNA from 1 species